AUAUGCUUUCAUACUAGCACUAAUGCACCGGAUCCCAUCAGAACUCCGCAGUUAAGCGUGCUUGGGCGAGAGUAGUACGAGGAUGGGUGACCUUGAGGAAUGUCCUCGUAUUGCAUCCC
rfam:Arabidopsis thaliana chromosome 3, complete sequence.